GCCCUUUGUUUUUUUUUUUUUUUUCCUGCUAGGAAUUGCAACACUUCAAGCCUUUGUUCAAACUCUACCUUCUAAUUCUUAGGACAUUGUAGUGGCUCCAAAAAUCAUUUUGUUAGGAAAUUGAUUCCACUGCCAAACAAACGAAAAACACGAAGUCAUGGGAAGCUGGUGUGUGUGGGUAUAUCAGAGCACCCAACUAGAGAAGGCAACACCCUUGAGUUUUAUCUAGAAAAUACAAGAUCAGAAACUGUCACAUUGUUACCAAUGGUCCCCACAAGUCCCUAAAGAUGCCUUCUUCAGUAUCUUCAUUGGAGACGAAUCUAGGACACUGUGUAUGAACUUGAGGCCCGCACUCAGAGGCAACAACCUACGGUAUGCUUCGUAGAGCUUCGGCCACGGGCUUUACAAGGCAGUUCCUAUCAGGGAAACCGCAUCAAAACCCUCCUGUGGCCCCUGGACCCAUGGAUGGCUGCCCUGGGGAGCACACUUGUGGAUGAAGUGGUGGAGGCCUGGAGAGGACAAGAGGAUACCAAUCGCUGGCACGAGCCGGAAAUGGUGAGCACUGAAGAGAGUGGAAGCAGCUGAAACAUGCACCAACAGGAAAGGGAGCCUGCUGUGGAAUGGACUGCCUUUGCCUGGUUUGGUUUUAGGUCUGGGAAGUGUUCCCUUCUGGAUUCCGCGACCGGAAGCGUUGUGUAGCUCUGCUGUUCUUUAAAAGCCUAGGAUACGCCAGUGAAGCUCUGGGAACCACGGGGCUUUCUUUCGGGGGAAUUUUUAAAUUAUGGAUUUACUUUUUAGAUAGUUACUAAGCUACUCAACAGUAUCCUAGCUCACGUGGUCAUUUCUGGUUGGAGAAGAUCGGCGUUGGCGCGCUCAUCUCGGAAGGCGACUUGCCACAGGCAGAGCUGAGCUCCGGGUGAGCUGGUGCUUUUCUCAUUUGGGGCAGCAUGGUGCCAGCUCUGCUGAGUCCCCGCUGACAGCUGUCCUGUCCUGACCCUCCAGUUUCACCACAGGGGCUCUGUCUCCUGCCCACUGUUUCCUUGCCUCGUGAGCAGGUUCUCAUGGCUCUCCUGUCGUCCCGAGGCUCCUCCCCAGGUCAGGAGUUCUAGGGCUGGGAGCAAACUCCUGUAUUUACCAACCUUCCACAUGACUGCUGUGCGCUAAUGCUGGGCACCUCUGUUGUAAGAGGUAUUUCAUCAAAGGGAUAAAGCUUAGCUAGCAACCUUUCCCAAAGUGUCCUCUCUUUAACAUAGGCCACUUUUGAUCUGGGGAGGCCUUGGCGAUGUGGGGAAAGACCUAGACUCCGGUCUGGAAAGAUUCUGUGCUUGUGUCUGAGUUGGACCGUCCCAUCUUGAAUACAUCACUCUGUUGAUUUUCAGCACAUUAGACUUUUUGUUUUUACAAAAUGGAUACUUUUCCUACUUCGUGAAGUGUAAUCAGACCAUAGAAAUUAUUGUUAUAAAGUAUAA